rnacentral:lncRNA from 1 species
GACGUUUCAAGUGUUUAAUACCAAAGAUACAGCCAGUGCAUACAUUUAGAAAGAUCACAACACAUCAUGUACUUUUCCCUCCUUUUGGUCACCACCCUCUUGUAGACAUCACCUCCUCAGCUAUACAUUUUAUGACCCCAAUGAGUUUCCCUCCUUUCCCCUGUCCAUGGUCCUCUCUUUGUUUAGCCAGAUGUCAGAAUCACACCUCGUCCAUCUUCUGUCCUGAGCCUGACCCUGCUCUCUGAUCCUAGGCCAUUUCCUCUUAUCUAAGUCAUGGUUUCUAAACUAGCAAACACACAGUUUCAUGACCUAAACUGCAUUAAUACUCACAGUAAUCAUUCACUAAACAGGAUACAAACAAACUACAGUUUAACUUGAAACGUGUUACAUUUUAAUAGAAUCCAUAUCAGAUUGAAGCAGAAGUGCAUUGAACUGGGCCUGGCAGAAUGUUCAACUCGUAGUAAACAGCUGAUCUUACUGUAGAGAUGGGGAGACCAUACUUUAACAUACUGGACAAUAUCAAUGUUCAGAUGACAGCCAGGUUUGGACAAUAUCAAUGUUCAGAUGACAGCCAAGUUUGGACAAUAUCAAUGUUCAGAUGACAGCCAGGUUUGGACAAUAUCAAUGUUCAGAUGACAGCCAGGUUUGACCACCUUACUUAUUAGGUAUUUUGGCAAUGAGGCCCUUUAUCUACUGACCCAGAGUCAGAUGAGGUCCUUUAUCUACUGACCCAGAGUCAGAUGAGGCCCUUUAUCUACUGACCCAGAGUCAGAUGAGGCCCUUUAUCUACUGACCCAGAGUCAGAUGAGGCCCUUUAUCUACUGACCCAGAG